UCAAAUUUAAAAUGUUGAGUGUGUUUGGUACGAUGAAAAAUGUUUUUUGAAAAAUAUUUUUCUUUCCCAAAUGGGUGAAGAAAAGUCAUUUUUCGGGUUAAAUUUUGUAGGCUACACAAGUUUUUCCUCCACCUCCAAAAACACACAACUCGCAUUAUCAUUUAUUCCAAAUUUCAAAGGCAUAUUUCACUGUAGUUUCUCUCCAAUUUUAGGGUUUCAUCUGUAUUCUCCCCACUGCAAUUUUUGCAAGAAUCUCAAAGGCAUAUUCUAGUCAUGAUAAGUUCAUCAACAAGAAGAUUGAUAUGUUUGAUGAAAUGUCUCUUGUGUGUGGAAGUGAUCGAGCUAGGGGUAAUUGUGCUAAGUAGUUUGGUGACAUAAACGUGGAUUGUAGUUCGGAUAAAGGAAAUGAUGAUGAUAUUGUAGGGCCAUCCAUGGAAAGAGAUGUGCAAGACAUAGUGAAUAAAACUUUUCAAGUCUAGGCAACUCGCAAAAGAAAUCGUUCUUCGGAUAUUCAAGAUGUGGUUGGUGAUAUUUCAAUUAAACUUGGAGAAGUGUCAAUGACAAUUAGUUUGAUGGCUAAUAGUCACCUACAUGUAACGA